rnacentral:misc_RNA from 1 species
UAACCUUUAAUUAGACGACAAUGAUGAUGUCCACUUGGUGAUUGAUUUUAUUAAUCUUAGAAAAGAAGCAUCUAUCUGGCAAGGAAAAAGGAAGGAAAGAUCCUGCCAUUGCCUCUCUGUUAUAAAAUGACACCCACAUGAACCCUAUUCUCAUUCAGACAAAGCUCAAUAUUUUCACACCAGACCCCUCUCCAAGGAUACCCAAAUAAAUUAACCCGAAAGAGAGCCUCUUAGCAUCUAUCCUAAAAAGAAACAAACAAGACAAGAAAGCGAAAAGCAUGGACUCCAUCAACUCCUUCAAGGGCUACGGUAAGGUAGAUGAGGUCGAACAGCAGGCCUUCCGGCGAAAGACCCGUAAGCGUCUUAUCAUUGUCAUUGUCUCCUCCGUCGUUCUUGUCGCUGUCAUCAUCGGUGCUGUUGUCGGAACUGUAUUACACAAAAGAAACAGUGGCUCCUCCCCUUCCUCCGCCGUCCCUACUGAGCUCACACCGGCCGCUUCACUCAAAGCUGUUUGCAGUGUCACUCAGUACCCUCCUUCUUGCGUCUCUAGCAUAUCUUCCCUUGAUUCAGCUAACACCAGUGAUCCAGAAGUUCUCUUUAAGCUUUCUUUACAUGUCGCCAUCACCGAACUCUCCAAACUCAAGGAUUACCCUUCUAAGCUUAUUGAAAGUACUAAUGAUACUAUGGUCAAGGAUGCUUUGCGGGUUUGUGAAUCCGUGUUUGAUGAUGCUGUGGAUCGGCUCAAUGACUCGAUUUCUUCCAUGGCGGUUGGAGAAGGUGAAAAGAUAUUAUCGACUUCCAAGAUUAAUGACAUGAAAACGUGGCUUAGUACUACCAUCACUGAUCAAGAAACAUGUUUAGAUGCUCUGCAAGAACUGAACAAUACAAAGCAUUUCAACAGUAAACUUCUUGAAGAAGUGAGGACAGCAAUGGAGAAUUCAACUGAGUUCGCAAGUAAUAGUUUGGCCAUUGCCACAAAAAUCAUAGGUUUGUUGACAGAUUUUAACAUCCCAAUUCACAGAAAAUUAUUGGGGUUCGAAGGAAGCAACUCAGGGUUUCCUGGUUGGGUUAGUUUGGGAGAUAGAAGGCUGCUCCAGGAGUCGAAGCCUACGCCAAAUGCUACAGUAGCCAAGGACGGCUCUGGGGAUUACACUACCAUCGGAGAUGCAGUGGCAGCAAUUCCAAAGAAGAGCCCAUAUAAAUUCAUCAUAUAUGUGAAGGAAGGAACAUAUAUAGAAAAUGUGAUUUUGGAAAAGAAGAAGUGGAAUGUGAUGAUAUAUGGGGAUGGAAAGGACAAGACUGUUAUCUCUGGAAGCAAGAACUUUGUGGAUGGGACUCCCACAUUCGCAACAGCUACUUUUGGUAAGUUCUUCUACUUCUCCUGCCAUUUCCGUGCAUUCUUGAAAGGAGAUUCUCUGUUUUCUUUAUAGUCCAGAAUUGAACUUGAGUCAUUACUUACAUUUUUCACAAAUUAUAUAGCUUAGAUGAAAUUUUGCCUGACAAAGUUUUAGAAUUUCGAUGAUAGAAGGUCCUAAACAUGAAUGGGUAGUUUGAGUUACUGUAUAAAAUUUCUGAAACUUGAAGAAGAUUAGGCAUCUGCUAAUGACAAGAUUAAGGAAAGUUAAGAAGGCACAUGGAAUAUGUCUAUGAGUUCCCAAUCCCAUGUGAAAUACUUUCCUGCAAAUCUGUUAUUCCCAAUAAAUGUUGCUCUGAAUAUAAUUAAAUGAGAUUGGAUGUUGGUACCCACCAGCCAUGUGCUUGUCUGUUCACUAAUUUACAACUAUCUUUUCUAGUGGUCCCAAUUGCUCCCAUAAUCCAAGUUAAGGUCUGCAAGACGAUACAGAUAGAUUAAGAUUAGUCAUUUGUCUAGGGUUGAUCGUAGGUGUUAAGGUUUUAAAUAGCCUUAAAUACCCUCUUGACCUAGUCUAUAAUAGAUGACAAACUACUCAUCUAAUAUGAUUAACUCUCUGCUUUUGGCGGGCGGUGAGUGUCACUUACUGAACAAGAGACUACUCGUUUAGGUAGACACUUCAAUUGAAGAUGAAUUAUUAGGUGCACUUAAUACAUAUAUAUUUUUUUUCACAGUUAUGUGAGAUUCACUUCUUAUAUAAUAGAAAGGAUCUACUUUCUGUGAGAAAAAUGACAUUAUUUUUUUAGUGCAUUGAGUGCACCUGAUAAUUAGCCUCAAUCGAAAGUAUGCUGGUUCAUGAACAUCUACUCUUAUAGGUAGGUCAUCUACUGUUUUAGAUAGGAAGGAUAGGGCAAGGCCUGUGAUGAUUCAUUUAACCUGGUUCAUGAGUUUAGUUUAGUUGUGUUAUAGAUUGCUCCCCUUAUGCCCAGGUGGCAGCACGAAGGAACUCAAUGCAGCGGGUUUUUUAUAAGUUAAACAUGGCAUCAAUUGCAUCAGAAGGAAUCAAAUUGUACUGUUAUUAAAAGAAGUUUCACUGACAGCCAGCACAUGUGAUGUGUUUGUAGCUUUUUGGGUCUCUGGUUUUGAUGGCCCGUAACACUUCCACUAGAGCAUGCAUCCCCCACUUUUUGUUUUGUGUUCUCGCCCAAUUCAGGGCCCCCCAAGUCCAAGAUUCAAAUCCCCUUAUUUAUUUGCUUUUGGUGUGUUUCUAAGUAUAUAAUAAUGAUGUGAUGUCCAGCUGUUGCCGGCAAGAACUUCAUAGCCAGAGAUAUAAAGUUCAUCAACACGGCAGGGGCAGCAAAGCACCAAGCAGUGGCCUUCAGGUCUGGCUCAGACAUGUCUGUUUACUACCAAUGUGCAUUUGAUGCUUUCCAGGACACACUCUAUGCUCACUCCAACCGGCAGUUCUACCGGAGCUGUGACAUUACUGGCACCAUUGACUUCAUCUUCGGCAACGCGGCUGUCGUUUUCCAGGAUUGCAACAUCAUGCCCAGGCAACCCUUACCAAACCAAUUCAACACCAUCACAGCUCAGGGCAAGAAAGACCCUAAUCAAAACACUGGCAUUUCAAUUCAGAAGUGCAGAUUUUCUGCUUAUGACACCAAUCUUAAAGCCCCUACAUACCUUGGGAGGCCUUGGAAAGAUUUUUCCACUACGGUUAUUAUGCAGUCUGAAAUUGGCUCAUUCUUAAAUCCAUUGGGCUGGAUGUCGUGGAUCAGUGGUGUGGAGCCGCCCAGUACAAUAUUCUACGGAGAGUACCUGAACUCAGGGGCUGGCUCUGCUGUGGAUCAAAGGGUUAAAUGGGUUGGUUACAGGCCCGCUCUCACAGAAGAUGAGGCAGGGAAAUUUACUGUAGGAUCAUUUAUCCAAGGCCCUGAGUGGCUGCCUGCAAGCACUGUGACAUUUGAUUCCACCCUUUGAUCUGAAAUUGGAUGAGAGGUGGGGUUUCAUCAAAUCAAUUGCCAUAUUAGGUCAAGUGAAGGAAACUAUAAACUCGCCAAGAAUUGUCUAGAAGAGA